rnacentral:lncRNA from 1 species
GUGGCUCACCAGUCUCUCAUUAGGCAAGGGCCAGUUGUCCUGGGCUGGCCUUCUCUACUGGUGGAAAGUACAGCUGGGAGAUUUGGAAUGGUUGCUGUUUGACUCUGAUUCUUGGCCAUGAGCUUUUUUGCUCCGGAGGGACGGACAGGCUGACCAGAAGCACAAGAUGCAGAUAACUGCUGCUGAGACCUGUAGAGUGAGCCAGGGUGAUGACAAGGCAGUGAUGCUGAUGAUGGAGAGAGCUAACGGCUGCUGGGAACAUUCUACAUGAUGAGUCUUUAACCAAUGUCUCCUCAUCAUGGAAGACUUUCUUGACGUGCUUUUCUCCCUGGCCCGUCUCACCUUCCCCCAGGGCACUUAUGCUCACUUGGACACCUUGUGCGUUUAUCAGGUCACCAUGUCCCCUUACUUCCCCCUGAGAG